rnacentral:rRNA from 1 species
AUUGAACGCUGGCGGUAGGCCUAACACAUGCAAGUCGAACGCGAAAGUCCUUCGGGAUGAGUAGAGUGGCGGACGGGUGAGUAACGCGUAGGAAUCUAUCCUGUAGUGGGGGAUAACGUUUCGAAAGGAACGCUAAUACCGCAUACGCCCCAAGGGGGAAAGCGGGGGAUCUUCGGACCUCGUGCUAUAGGAGGAGCCUGCGUCGGAUUAGCUAGUUGGUGAGGUAAAGGCUCACCAAGGCGACGAUCCGUAGCUGGUCUGAGAGGAUGAUCAGCCACACCGGAACUGAGACACGGUCCGGACUCCUACGGGAGGCAGCAGUGGGGAAGAUUGCGCAAUGGGCGAAAGCCUGACGCAGCCAUACCGCGUGUGUGAAGAAGGCCUUCGGGUUGUAAAGCACUUUCAGUGGGGAGGAAAAGCUGGUGGCAAAUAUCCAUCGGCCGUGACGCUACCCACAGAAGAAGCACCGGCUAAUUCCGUGCCAGCAGCCGCGGUAAUAC